rnacentral:piRNA from 1 species
UACUAUGUGCGUGGUGCUGCUUUGGUACUU